AAAGAUCCUGGAAGGUGCCAGCAAGUGAGGUUAGGUUUCCCACUGUAGAUGUAAUGGAAACAUGGUUUCCCCACCAACUUCGAGGCUUGAGAGCAUUCAGAAAAAGUUUGGUCAACCUUGUAGGGGAACCAGCCCGCUAUACCACCCGUGGGUUCUCCCCUUCCCAGUGGAGACGAGGGAAUGAGAAAAGAAAGACAAACACACAAAGUUCAAGAGUUAACAAAAGUGGGUCCAGGGGUCCAUCGCAAUGUGGAAACUGCGACAGCCCUGAGCUCUGGAUUCCACUGAUAUUUACUGAAUAAUCGUUAAAGUCCAACUAAGUGGUUAACAGAACAGGACGUGAAAGCAGACAGCCCGUCAGACCACAGGCCUGUGCAUCAAAGGAGCGGUCCACUCCAAGCACCAUCAGCAGAGCAGCAGAGCUCUCUGCCUCUGGGAACGAGCGAGAGAUAGAAGACUUUCUCCUUAUCCUCAGAGGACUUCUCUUUUACAAGCAGCCUCCUGCUGUUCCCUUCUGGGGAAUGGAGCAGGGGUCGCUUCCCUUCCCAUGAGACCUUUGUUCAGGGACUCAAGUGGGAGGUUGAGCAAUAAGCAAGCUUUCUUGCUUACAGGCUCCGCACACUUCCU
rnacentral:lncRNA from 1 species